AGAGUUGUGUAUAAUUCAAUUGCUGAUCAUUUUGAUGGUUUAUGUUUUCUUUCUAAUGUUAGAGAAAAUUCUAACAAGCAUGACUUGUCCAAUCUCCAAGAGACAUUACUUUAUGAAUUGGAGAAGGAACUCAAGUUGGGUGAUUUCCAUAAAGGAAUUUCAAUAAUGGAACAUAGGCUUCGACAAAAGAAGAUUCUUUUAAUCCUUAAUGAUGUUGAUAAAUUGAAGCAGUUAAAAGCACUAGCUGGAAGCUGUGACUGGUUUGGCUCUAGAAGUAGAAUCAUCAUUACGACAAGGAAUAAACAGCUCUUAGCAAGUCAUAGGGUUCAUAAAAUUUAUGCUGUCAAGAAAUUAAGUUAUAAGGAGUCUCUUCAGUUGAUUAAAUGGAAUGCUUUCAAAAAGGUCUUAUGAAUUCAGAUUACAUAGAUGUUUUAAACCGUGCAAUUAUUUAUUCAUGUGGCCUUCCCUUGGCGUUGGAAGUGAUUGGCUCUAACUUAUGUGAUAAAAUAGUUGAUAAAUGGAGUUUUGCAUUAGAUGAGUAUGAAAGAAUACCUAUUAAAGAAGUUUUUGAAGUCCUUAAAUUAAGUUAUGAUGCUUUGGAAGAAACACAUGAAGAAAUUUUUCUUGACAUGGCUUGUUUCUUUAAUGGAGAGAAAUUAGGAGAUGUCAAAAAUGUGUUGAAGAUUAUCCGUGGUGUCGAACCAACUUAUGCUAUUGAAGUAUUGACUGAUAGAUCUCUAAUAAAGAUUAAAAAAGAUCGUGUGACAAUGCACGACUUGAUAGAAGAUAUGGGUAAGAAAAUUGUUCGUGGACAAUCACCAAGAGAACCUGGUAAUCGCAGUAAGUUAUGGUCUUAUGAGGACAUUAUUCACGUGUUGCAAAAUGACACAGUAAGAGCACAAUGUACAUCACUCUUCAUUUAAUGCUUAUCUUUAUAUGACUUUUGUAUCUAAUUUCCAGCAUUUAUUGUGUGUUUUUCAUUUUAAACGGGAUCCAAAGAAAUUGAAGUCAUGAUUCUUGAUUCUCCUAAAGGUAAAGAAAUUCAAUGGAGUCGAGAGGAAUUCAGAAGGAUGAAGAACCUCAAAUUUCUUGCCAUAAAAAGUGCAAGUUUUCCUGAAGUCCCCAAAUAUCUCCCAAAAUGGAAGCGGUGUCCUUUGGAGCUCUUGCCUUCCAAUUUUUGUCCAACCCAACUUGUCCAAUAGCUGGUUUGCAAACCUCCAACCAUUUAUUAAGAUAAUGCAAGGAACUUUAUGAUAUUGUGCAAAUGCCACCAAACUUGGAACAAUUAAGUGCCAUAAGUUGUACAUCAUUGUCAGAGUUAUCCAAAGGCGAAGUGCUGAAUAAGGCAUUCUACUUAGAACCUCAGAAAAGAAACUUUAUUUGCCGGGAAAGAAAAUCCCUGAGUGCCUUGACCAUUAUAGUCGAGGAAGUUCCAUGCCAUUUUGGAUUCGUGAUGAGUUCCCAACAAUUUUUCUUUGGUUUCUUGUUGAAAAUGUCGAAGAUUCUCCCUACAAGUGUAUGUUCUCAGUACACAUCAAUGACAUCAAGUUAGAUGUUAAUUCUUCUGGGUGGCUUCUACUAUCAACAAUAAAGACUAACCAUAUAUACAUAUGUGAUUUGCAAAGCAUCCUUCGAAAUGUUGAAAUCCCUCGUGUAAAUAAAUGGAAUCAAGUCCAGGUUUCCAUAAGAGCAAUGCGCAAGAAAUGAACUGGGAAAAAGAAACUCAAAUUGCAGUUCGUGUAUACAGGCAACAAAAUAUCUUAUAUGAUAUCUGAUUUAGGGACCCUAGAAUGUUCGCUGAUGAUGGAAACUUAUGGCCAAAACUACAACCACCAACUAAAGAUUGGGAAGGGCUUAAAAAUGACAUGCAUUCCAAAGGAAGGAAAGAUGGGAUGAGUGGUUACAUCGAAGAGCACACUCUGCUGCAAUGGGAGUCGUCGAAGGAAGAAUAAACCAUGGCUGCUGAGCUUGUGGGUGGAGCAUUUCUCUCUGCUACUCACAUCGCUUUCGAAAAGUUGGCUUCUUCUAUUCACUACUUCCAAUCAAAAAACCUCAAAGAUGGCUUGCUUGAAAAGCUCCACCUCACUCUCAUCUCUGUGAAUCAAGUGCUUGAUGAUGUAGAAGUAAAGCAGCACACAAACUCUAAUGUGAAGAAGUGGCUUCAGGAGCUCAAACAUGCUAUUUAUAUGGCUAAUGACCUCUUAGAUGAGAUUGCUACUGAGGCGACCAAGUUGAAGAUCGAAGCUGAGAAUCAACUUGCUCCCAAUAAGGUACGAAGCUACUUAACUGCUUCUGACAAUCCAUUUGACAAACACAUGGAAGCUAGAAUCCAAGAAGUGCUUGACAACCUGGAGUUCCUUGCAAAACAAAAGGUGCUUUGGGAUUGAAGGAACUAUCUGGCGGUGGUAGUGAAGUUGGAGUUGGUGGGAAAGUAUCUUCUAGGUUGCCAACUAUGUCUCUGGCUGCUGAUGAGUCACGUAUAUAUGGCAGAGAUGGUGAUAAAGAAGAAAUAUUUCGUCUUUUACUCGAUGAAAAUCUUAGCAGGGACCCACUAUCUGUAAUUUCUGUAGUGGGUAUGGGUGGAUUAGGAAAAACCACUCUUGCUCAGCUGGUGUACAAUGAUGGGAGGAUCAGGGAUCAAUUUCAACUCAAAGCUUGGGUGUGAAGAGAGAGGAAGAGGAUCAGAUCGUGAAAGAUUGAUUUGUUUUGGGAGGGGCAAAAUUAUAUUUUUGCUAACAACAAAAAUUGCAAGAAAAAACCUCGUGCCUGCAAUGUAUUUUUAUAUUUUAUUAGACCCAAAGUGUAAUUGUGUGUGU